ACGCUGGCGGCAGGCCUAACACAUGCAAGUCGAGCGGUAGAGAGAAGCUUGCUUCUCUUGAGAGCGGCGGACGGGUGAGUAAUGCCUAGGAAUCUGCCUGGUAGUGGGGGAUAACGUUCGGAAACGGACGCUAAUACCGCAUACGUCCUACGGGAGAAAGCAGGGGACCUUCGGGCCUUGCGCUAUCAGAUGAGCCUAGGUCGGAUUAGCUAGUUGGUGGGGUAAUGGCUCACCAAGGCGACGAUCCGUAACUGGUCUGAGAGGAUGAUCAGUCACACUGGAACUGAGACACGGUCCAGACUCCUACGGGAGGCAGCAGUGGGGAAUAUUGGACAAUGGGCGAAAGCCUGAUCCAGCCAUGCCGCGUGUGUGAAGAAGGUCUUCGGGUUGUAAAGCACUUUAAGUUGGGAGGAAGGGCAGUAAAUUAAUACUUUGCUGUUUUGACGUUACCGACAGAAUAAGCACCGGCUAACUCUGUGCCAGCAGCCGCGGUAAUACAGAGGGUGCAAGCGUUAACCGGAAUUACUGGGCGUAAAGCACGCGUAGGUGGUUCGUUAAGUUGGAUGUGAAAUCCCCGGGCUCAACCUGGGAACUGCAUUCAAAACUGACGAGCUAGAGUAUGGUAGAGGGUGGUGGAAUUUCCUGUGUAGCGGUGAAAUGCGUAGAUAUAGGAAGGAACACCAGUGGCGAAGGCGACCACCUGGACUGAUACUGACACUGAGGUGCGAAAGCGUGGGGAGCAAAC
rnacentral:rRNA from 1 species